rnacentral:rRNA from 1 species
UACAGAGGGGGCAAGCGUUAUUCGGAAUUACUGGGCGUAAAGGGCGCGUAGGCGGUUGUUUAAGUCAGAUGUGUAAUCCCCGAGCUCAACUUGGGAACUGCAUCUGAGACUGGAGAGCUAGAGUGCUGGAGAGGGUGGUGGAAUUCCACGUGUAGCGGUGAAAUGCGUAGAGAUGUGGAGGAACACCAGUGGCGAAGGCGGCCACCUGGACAGCAACUGACGCUGAGGCGCGAAAGUGUGGGGAGCAAACAGG